rnacentral:ncRNA from 1 species
CGUAAGGCGAUGUAUACGGACUGACGCCUGCCCGGUGCUGGAACGUUAAGGGGACCGGUUAGCUCCAUUUCGGUGGGGCGAAGCUGAGAACUUAAGCGCCAGUAAACGGCGGUGGUAACUAUAACCAUCCUAAGGUAGCGAAAUUCCUUGUCGGGUAAGUUCCGACCUGCACGAAUGGCGUAACGACUUCUCGACUGUCUCAACCAUAGGCCCGGUGAAAUUGCACUACGAGUAAAGAUGCUCGUUUCGCGCAGCAGGACGGAAAGACCCCGGGACUUUACACAGUUUGAUAUUGGUGUUCGGUUCGGCUUGUGUAGGAUAGCUGGGAGACUGUGAAGCGCUAACGCCAGUUAG